ACCCUCCGCGGCCCCCUCCCGACCCUCGGGCCCCUAGGACUCCCCUCCGGCCCUCCCCUAGGAAAGGGCCCCUCGCCAAGUCUCCGCCUUCCUGUCCUCCCCCUGUCAAUGUCACUGUCCAGCGCCCACCGCCUUCGGAACGCCACUCCACCCGGGCCUUCUUCUCCAGGGACCCCCUGGGCCCCACCCCCAGGACCUCCCACCUCUGGAAGCCCUGCGUUUGCUUUCCCCCAUCCGCUUGGCGGCUAGUCUCCACGCCCACCUGACUGGACCCGGAAGCUCCAAGAAGUUAGCAGGGGAUUUCAGCAAUUAGGGGUGGGUAUAAGGGAGAGCCUGGGCGAGGAAAGGGAGAAGGGGGAAAUGUCCAGAAGGAAUAGAGGAGGGUGAGCAGGGUAUUCGAGGAUGGAGGACGAAGGGAAGUGUUGGCAUGUAGAGGUGUGUAUUGUGGGCAUGUAUGAGGAGUAUGCAUAGGCCUUAUAGUAUGGGGUAUGGGAGAGUGGUGCGCGUAUGUGUUGUGUGGUGUGGGGAACGGUAUGUAUUCCGAGAGUGCAGUGUAGUGUGUGCGGUGUCCAGACUUGCAGUGCGGGGAAGUGUGGUGUGUGUGUGUUAGUGGUGUAUGUGCAGAAGGUGUGUUACCUUGAGAUGUGUGAAGAGUAUUGUAGGUGCUUGGGGGUUGUGAAUAGGGUGUGCGAGAGAACUAGCUGGAGAUUUCUCUCCGAGAAUCCAGCCACGGAGUAAGGCCAGCAAGGCCGGGAUGACGUCUGGGGGAGAACCUCAGGUGAGUUCAGCUUUGGGUCCAGUCCCAUCUCCAGAUCUGGCAGAAAAUUUCCUCACACGCAGGUGAACGAAUUUGACCUGCGCUCAAGUGCGCAAGGGAGAGUGUUGUGGUAGCUCAAAUCCGUACAGGGACCCCUGAGGCCUCCGGCAGCCCCGCCCUGGCCCGCAGUCCCGGGUGUGGGUGAUUCAGGCCGACUGCGUAGCUCCGAACCGCGGCUUGCGGUGGCUGUGCCUGAGGCUGGGGUGGAGAAGCGGGGUCCAGGCGUGGGGAGCGGGACGCGGUGGAGAGAACGCGCCUGCGCGUCGACCUUAUGGAAGGUUCUGGUCCGUCAAAGGCCCAGGGACUUUCCUAUUUAUUGCUAAAGGACCUCCCCACAAAACCAAGAACUGUAUUGCCUGGGGAAGCUGCGCCCAUGUGACCGAGGCAGCACCGGGGUUCUCGCCCACCCUCUUAGAAACCACUUGCUGGUGGGAGUAUGGAGGCCUUCCAAAGACUCCCGGACGUUUGCGUGGGUUUCAAUUCGGCCCAUAGCUUCAGAAAGAGCGAACCAGCCUCUGUGUAUUUUUAGCAGGCGGAGCAGAAUUUGAAACAGCAUCCUACUGAUCCUGCGCCUGGUAAAUGAUGACUUGCCAGAAAGCAAAGACGCAACCCUGCCUCGGUAGGAAGUCUGAAUCAGAAGAGUCACACCAAGAAACAUCAUCCUGAAGGAAUCUUCAGAGGUUGAAGUCUUGAUGAAGCUGCCCAUGCCCAGGUGAAAAUAAGUUAGAUAAACCUAUGACUAAAUAAAUUAUAUUAAAAUAUCGGUAA